rfam:Helianthus annuus linkage group 4, whole genome shotgun sequence.
UUUUGGGCUUAGUAGGCAAUAAAACACAUGAAAACUUCAUAGUUAAUCGUGCUCAGAUGAGAGUAGUAUUAGGAUGGGUGACUUCCUGGAAAAUCUUCAUAAGGGCAACGA